GACGAACGCUGGCGGCGUGCUUAACACAUGCAAGUCGAACGGUGAAGCGCCUUCCUUUUUGGUGGGUGUGGAUGAGUGGCGAACGGGUGAGUAACACGUGAGUAACCUGCCCCCUUCUUCUGGAUAACCGCAUGAAAGUGUGGCUAAUACUGGAUAUUCUGGGUCUGUCGCAUGAUGGGUCUGGGAAAGAUAUUGUUUCGGUGGGGGAUGGGCUCGCGGCCUAUCAGCUUGUUGGUGGGGUGAUGGCCUACCAAGGCGGUGACGGGUAGCCGGCCUGAGAGGGUUGACGGUCGCACAGGGACUGGGACACGGCCCAGACUGCUACGAGGGGCAGAAGUGGGGAAUAUUGCGCAAUGGGCGCAAGGCUGAUGCAGCGACGCCGCGUGAGGGAUGGAGGCCUUCGGGUUGUGAACCUCUUUCGGCAGUGAAGCAGGCCUGCCUCGUUUGUGGGUGGGUUGACGGUAGCUGGAUAAGAAGCGCCGGCUAACUACGUG
rnacentral:rRNA from 1 species